rnacentral:rRNA from 1 species
GAAGCCAGCAUUAAUAACAACAAUGAUUUUCAACCAAACAGACAACAGUGAUUUUUUCGGAGAUCAGAUAACACAGUGAUUAUUACCUCUAAUUGAGCCCCAUCUUUUACUUCAUAACUGGUCAAGGAAAGUGGUUUUGUACGCUUACUGCAGACUUUUUAUCUGGGAAGAGUCGAGCCAUUCUCUCUCCUCUCUCCAAUCUCCAUUUGUCCUAACAAAAUCUUCUUGACCUCCUCCUUCCUUGCUUCGCUCUGCUACCCAAUCUGCUCCCUUUAUCGAAUUCCCAAAUCCAAUCUCAUAGUUAAUUAAACACGGCUCUGGGUGCCGGAGACCCGGCAGGGCGGCGCCGUCCACGAUGGGAUCGAAGGCGGUGUGGCUCCCCGUGGCCCUGCUCCUGGCGGCAGUGGCCCUCUCGUCCGUCCUGACGCCGCCGGCCGCCGCGGCCGCUACGGAGUCCGGCGAGGCCGACCACGCCGUUCAGCAGCACAGCGAGCGCAUCUCAGGAAGUGCUGGUGAUGUGCUAGAAGACAAUCCUGUGGGAAAGUUAAAGGUUUUCAUAUAUGACUUGCCAAGAAAGUAUAACAAGAAGAUGGUCACCAAGGAUCCCCGGUGCCUCAAUCACAUGUUUGCUGCGGAAAUAUUCAUGCAUCGUUUCUUGCUCUCAAGUGCUGUGCGGACACUCAAACCCAAAGAGGCUGACUGGUUCUACACACCAGUUUAUACUACAUGUGACCUAACUCCUGCUGGUCUUCCCUUGCCAUUCAAGUCACCACGGGUGAUGAGGAGUUCGAUCCAGUAUAUUUCGAAUAAAUGGCCCUUUUGGAACCGAACUGAUGGCGCAGAUCACUUCUUUGUUGUCCCACAUGAUUUUGGAGCUUGCUUCCAUUAUCAGGAAGAAAAAGCUAUUGAACGUGGCAUUCUCCCAUUGCUGCGACGUGCUACAUUGGUGCAAACGUUUGGACAAGAGAAUCAUGUUUGCCUGAAGGAGGGGUCUAUCAUCAUUCCACCCUUUGCUCCUCCUCAGAAAAUGCAGGCUCACCUUAUUCCCCCGGACACACCACGGUCAAUCUUCGUUUACUUUAGGGGUCUGUUCUAUGACACCGGAAAUGACCCUGAGGGUGGUUACUAUGCAAGAGGUGCGCGAGCUUCCCUGUGGGAGAACUUCAAGAACAAUCCUCUGUUUGACAUUUCCACCGAUCACCCUGCGACUUACUACGAAGACAUGCAGCGUGCUGUCUUCUGCCUGUGCCCAUUGGGCUGGGCACCAUGGAGCCCUAGGUUGGUUGAGGCUGUGGUCUUUGGCUGCAUUCCAGUCAUCAUAGCUGACGAUAUUGUGCUGCCAUUUGCUGAUGCUAUCCCAUGGGAAGAAAUUGGUAUUUUUUUGGAGGAGAAGGAUGUCCCAAAGUUGGACACAAUCCUGACAUCAAUGCCCAUCGAGGAUAUUCUAAGAAAGCAAAGAUUGCUCGCAAAUCCAUCAAUGAAGCAGGCCAUGUUGUUCCCACAGCCAGCCCAACCACGAGAUGCAUUCCACCAGAUCUUGAAUGGCCUUGCUCGUAAGCUCCCACACCCAGAGGGUGUAUACUUGCCACCCGGCGAAAAGCAUCUCAACUGGACUGCCGGACCUGUUGGAGAUCUGAAACCGUGGUAGGGAAGAGUCAAGAGCUUCCCAUCCUCUUUGCCAUAUAAGCCCCAUAGAAAUAGUUCAUACUUCCUCUUAUGUGAUGUAAUAGAAACACAGUGCCAUGGGUGUAAAUUACACCCAAGGCGUUAUCUAACAUGAGCGAUUUCUGAAGUUGGUAAUUUAGAAAGAAAUGAAAUGGCAUUGUUCCUAUCAGGUUAGAUGGAUGGUGACUUUUGUUGAAAAGAUUUGUUACAGCUUGCAGAAGAAGAAUCGAUGGCAAGAUCUGGUACAUCACAAGGCUCAGCCUCUCCAGUGGUACCAUGUUGGCGGUCUGCCUGCUCAGUGAUCAUCAUCAGUGGUAGGGUUGAACGUUUUGAGCAGGUCAGGGCAGACGGGCAGCGGCUUGUCCUUGAGGUAGCCGAGUGGGUUGGCCAUGCGGAUGUUGUCGCUGAUGCCAACGUUCCUGCUGAGGACUAUCUCGGCGCGGUCCCUGAGAUCCUGGAUCUCGUUGCAGUUUGCGAGGGGGCUCUGGACAAGAACCAUCUCGCAGAUAUCCUCCGGAUGGCUGUCCUUGAGCUCGAUUUUGUAAGUGCCAGUCUCGUCGGUUACACCGUCGAUCGAGCGCUCAACUUUCUCAGUGCCGAAGCGCUUGCACUCCAGCCUCACCUUGGCACCUGCAGUCCAUCAACAAAGUACCACUGAGUGCAGCAUGUCCUGUUUCAGCUGUUCACAGGUUCAGAGAUGUGUAGUAAUAAUAUGGGUCAGAGAUGCCUUGCUUACCCUUGAUGUACUCGGUGACAUUUGUCUCGAACCC